rnacentral:rRNA from 1 species
UACGUAGGGUGCAAGCGUUGUCCGGAAUUAUUGGGCGUAGAGAGCUCGUAGGCGGUUUGUCGCGUCGGCUGUGAAAACCUGGGGCUCAACCCCGGGCCUGCAGCCGAUACGGGCAAACUAGAAUUCGGUAGGGGAGACUGGAAUUCCUGGUGUAGCGGUGAAAUGCGCAGAUAUCAGGAGGAACACCGGUGGCGAAGGCGGGUCUCUGGGCCGAUACUGACGCUGAGGAGCGAAAGCGUGGGGAGCGAACAGG